AGGAUGAACGCUGGCGGCGUGCCUAAUACAUGCAAGUCGAACGAGGUGCUUUUGUAGCAAUACUAGAGUAUCCUAGUGGCGAACGGGUGAGUAACGCGUUGGUGACCUACCCCAAAGUGUGGAAUAACAGUCCGAAAGGAUUGCUAAUACCGCAUGUGGUUAUCGGGCUUAGAAACUGAUAACUAAAGGAGCAAUUCGCUUUGGGAGGGACCUGCGUCCCAUCAGCUAGUUGGUGAGGUAACGGCUCACCAAGGCUACGACGGGUAGGGGACCUGGAGAGGGUCGACCCCCCACAAGUGGAACUGAAACACGGUCCAUACACCUACGGGUGGCAGCAGUAGGGAAUAUGCACAAUGGGACGAAAGCCUAGAUGCAGCAACGCCGCGUGUGCGAUGGAAGGCCUUACGGGGCGUAAAGCCUAACUUUUUCAGGAGAGAGUAGAAGAAAGGCAAGUAUCGUAC
rnacentral:rRNA from 1 species